rnacentral:rRNA from 1 species
UAGGGAAUCUUCCGAAUGGACGAAAGUCUGACGGAGCAACGCCGCGUGAGUGAUGAAGGCUUUCGGGUCGUAAGGCUCUGUUGUUAGGGAAGAACAAGUACGAGAGUAACUGCUCGUACCUUGACGGUACCUAACCAGAAAGCCACGGCUAACUACGUGCCAGCAGCCGCGGUAAUACGUAGGUGGCAAGCGUUAUCCGGAAUUAUUGGGCGUAAAGCGCGCGCAGGCGGUUUCUUAAGUCUGAUGUGAAAGCCCACGGCUCAACCGUGGAGGGUCAUUGGAAACUGGGGAACGUGAGUGCAGAAGAGAAAAGCGGAAUUCCACGUGUAGCGGUGAAAUGCGUAGAGAUGUGGGGGAACACCAGUGGCGAAGGCGGCUUUUUGGUCUGUAACUGACGCUGAGGCGCGAAAGCGUGGGGAGCAAACAG